UCAAUAAAUGCUGAGAAUCG
rnacentral:snRNA from 1 species